UACGAAGGGGGCUAGCGUUGCUCGGAAUCACUGGGCGUAAAGGGUGCGUAGGCGGAUCUUUAAGUCAGGGGUGAAAUCCCGAGGCUCAACCUCGGAACUGCCCUUGAUACUGGGGAUCUCGAGUCCGGAAGAGGUUGGUGGAACUCCGAGUGUAGAGGUGAAAUUCGUAGAUAUUCGGAAGAACACCAGUGGCGAAGGCGGCCAACUGGUCCGGCACUGACGCUGAGGUGCGAAAGCGUGGGGAGCAAACAGG
rnacentral:rRNA from 1 species